UACGGAGGAUGCGAGCGUUAUCCGGAUUUAUUGGGUUUAAAGGGUGCGUAGGCGGACGCUUAAGUCAGCGGUAAAAUUGCGGGGCUCAACCUCGUCGAGCCGUUGAAACUGGGUGCCUUGAGUGGGCGAGAAGUACGCGGAAUGCGUGGUGUAGCGGUGAAAUGCAUAGAUAUCACGCAGAACUCCGAUUGCGAAGGCAGCGUACCGGCGCCCAACUGACGCUGAAGCACGAAGGCGUGGGUAGCAAACAGG
rnacentral:rRNA from 1 species